AUUGAACGCUGGCGGCAUGCUUUACACAUGCAAGUCGAACGGUAACAGGUUAAGCUGACGAGUGGCGAACGGGUGAGUAAUGCAUCGGAACGUGCCCGGUCGUGGGGGAUAACGCAGCGAAAGCUGCGCUAAUACCGCAUACGAUCUGAGGAUGAAAGCGGGGGACUGUAAGGCCUCGCGCGAUCGGAGCGGCCGAUGUCAGAUUAGGUAGUUGGUGGGGUAAAGGCUCACCAAGCCGACGAUCUGUAGCUGGUCUGAGAGGACGACCAGCCACACUGGGACUGAGACACGGCCCAGACUCCUACGGGAGGCAGCAGUGGGGAAUUUUGGACAAUGGGCGAAAGCCUGAUUCAGCAAUGCCGCGUGCAGGAAGAAGGCCUUCGGGUUGUAAACUGCUUUUGUACGGAGCGAAAAGGCUCUCUCUAAUACAGGGGGCUCAUGACGGUACCGUAAGAAUAAGCACCGGCUAACUACGUGCCAGCAGCCGCCGUAA
rnacentral:rRNA from 1 species